CCUCCUUACCAUUACGUCGAAAGACGCACUUGAUGCAGUGCCUACACAGAUAGUCUUGUUUAAAAAAUAAAGAACGACAUAAGCUUAUGGGGCUAUAGCUCAGCUGGGAGAGCGCCUGCCUUGCACGCAGGAGGUCAGCAGUUCGAUCCUGCUUAGCUCCACCAUCUGCUUGUUUUACCCUAGGCUUGUAGCUUGGAUGGUUGCAGCCCUGCCCUCGAAUAAGAGCGGUGAGGUCACAACGCCGACUGGCUAAGAAAAUAGGCUUGUAGCUCAGCUGGUUAGAGCGCACCCCUGAUAAGGGUGAGGUCGGCAGUUCAAGUCUGCCCAAGCCUACCAAUUCUACUUGCUUGCGUUAUUUUGAACGCUGCGAUGCUCAGGUGCUAAAGCACAUUGCGCUUCUCGCAUUCAAACUAACUUUACCAAGCGAAUUGGUUGUGGUUUUACGUUACUGGCUUUGCAAGUGGUCGUGAAAAAGCCGCUUANCGGAAGCAGAGCUUCU
rnacentral:tRNA from 1 species